UACGUAGGGGGCGAGCGUUGUCCGGAAUCAUUGGGCGUAAAGCGCGUGUAGGCGGCCGGUAAGUCCGCUGUGAAAGUCAAGGGCUCAACCCUUGGAUGCCGGUGGAUACUGCAGGGCUAGAGUCCGGAAGAGGCGAGUGGAAUCCUGGUGUAGCGGGUGAAAUGCGCAGAUAUCAGGAGGAACACCGGUGGCGAAGGCGGAUCUCUGGGCCUUACCUGACGCUGAGGCGCGAAAGCUAGGGGAGCGAACAGG
rnacentral:rRNA from 1 species